CCGUGACGGAGUGACGCCGCGUGUGGGACGAAGGCCUUCGGGUCGUAAACCACUGUCAGGUGGGAAAGAUGGGUGUCGGCGCGAUAACCGCCGGCAUCUGACGGUACCUGCAGAGGAAGCCCCGGCCAACUCUGUGCCAGCAGCCGCGGUAAGACAGAGGGGGCAAGCGUUGCUCGGAAUUACUGGGCGUAAAGGGCGCGUAGGCGGAAUGGCAAGUCGGUCGUGAAAUCCUUCGGCUCAACCGAAGAACGUCGAUCGAAACUGCCGUUCUUGAGGAUUGCAGAGGAGACUGGAAUUCCCGGUGUAGCGGUGAAAUGUGUAGAGAUCGGGAGGAACACCGGUGGCGAAGGCGGGUCUCUGGGCAAUUCCUGACGCUGAGGCGCGAAAGCGUGGGGAGCAAACGGGAUUAGAUACCCCGGUAGUCCACGCUGUAAACGAUGACGACUAGGUGUGGGGGGGUUCAGUCCCUUCCGUGCCGCAGCUAACGCAUUAAGUCGUCCGCCUGGGGAGUACGGCCGCAAGGUUG
rnacentral:rRNA from 1 species